UGCAGGCAUUAAAUUGAGGCGCUAGGCAAGCUGCAGGCAUUAAACUGUGCGCCAGGCAAGCUGCAGGUGUUAAACUGUGCGCUAGGCAAGCUGCAGGCAUUAAACUGAGGUGCUAGGCAAGCUGCAGGCAUUAAACUGAGGCGCUAGGCAAGCUGCAGGCAUUAAACUGAGACGCUAGGCAAUCUGCAGGCAUUAAAUUGUGCGCUAGGUAAGCUACAGGCAUUAAACGGAGACGCUAGGCAAGCUGCAGGCAUUAAACUGUGCGCUAGGCAAGCUGCAGGCAUUAAACUGUGCGCUAUAGGCAAGCUGCAGGCAUUAAACUGUGCGCUGGGCAAGCUACAGGCAUUAAACUGUGCGCUAGGCAAGCUGCAGGCAUUAAACUGAGGCGCUAGGCAAGCUGCAGGCAUUAAACUGUGCGCUGGGCAAGCUACAGGCAUUAAACUGUGCGCUGGGCAAGCUACAGGCAUUAAACUGUGCGCUAUAGGCAAGCUGCAGGCAUUAAACUGUGCGCUAUAGGCAAGCUGCAGACAUUAAACUGUGCGCUGGGCAAGCUACAUGCAUUAAACUGUGCGCUAUAGGCAAGCUGCAGGCAUUAAACUGUGCGCUGGGCAAGCUACAGGCAUUAAACUGAGGCGCUAGGCAAGCUGCAGGCAUUAAACUGUGCGCUAUAGGCAAGCUGCAGGCAUUAAACUGUGCGCUGGGCAAGCUACAGGCAUUAAACGGAGAUGCUAGGCAAGCUGCAGGCAUUAAACUAUGAGUUACUGAAUGCGCGGAGAGAACACACAGCAGCAGCGGCGGCAGUUAGAUAGAUGCUUGCGUGAUAGAGAUGUUUGCGAGUGAAGCCCUGACGAGCGAUUCUUAAUGUAAGUACAUUACGCGAAAUUGCGCGAAGAAUUGCAGACGCUGCUAGAGCGCCCGGCUUCCGUCUGCUAGCCGACUGCCUCUCGUUUGCGUUCACCGAUCAAUCAUUAUCAGCAUUUGAACGCGCAGCGCGCGGGCGUUUUACGAUGAAAUUUACGUUUUUAAGUUAGACUGCCCGAGCACGUCCCGCCCAGCACGGUCAGAACAGUGACGCGAGCAGCGCUGCAUCCAUUCUAGGUACUCAUGUGCUGCUGCAGAGCAACGCGGCAGAACAAUAUUUUUUUUCGGUACGCUCGUAAGAAAAUCGUCUGCUGCGUUUGGGCCGCGGCUUAACUCAAGCACUUGUAUUAAAAACCGCUCGCGUGCGGUAGGCUUUAGAUAUGGCUGUCGGUUAUCGGGGCGAGUGUAGAUUAUAGAGGUAAGAGUGCGUUAUGGGGCGACGGGGAGUUAGAUAUGAGAGCGAGGUAAAGGUUUCCGUGAGUUGUAAGUUAUGCGUGGGCGUGCGCGAGGUAUAGAGAGGUGAGUGUGAGUUUGAGGUGAGCGUGAGUUAUAGGUUUCUGUGAGUUGUAAUUGAUUCGUGAGUGUGAGCUAGAGUUUCUGUGAGUUGUAAUUGAUUCGUGAGUGUGAGCUAGAGGUACAUGUGAGUUAGCGGUGAGUGUGAGUUUGAGAGGAGCGUGAGUUUGAGAUGAAUGUGAGUUAGAGGUAAGCGUGAGUUAGGGGCGCGUUUACGUCUAAGAUAAGCGCCAGCAACGUAUAGCCAACAGAUUUCCUUUCCUGCUACUUUCCUUCCCGUGAGAUCGAACAUCAUAUUUAAUUAUUUAUUCUUGUAUAUACUUGGUCUAUGGUACACAUGUAAUCGGGAACGAGUGUGAUCGAAGAAAGGUUGAUGCUCCAUUAUCGGACGCGUUAAUUCUUCCUAUCCUGUCACAACGACGCGUGAUGCCCCGUAACUGCAACGCGGACUGUUACGCAACGAAGCGCGACCGUGCAAGGAGUUAAUAUACGCUAUAAUUACUCCUUCCUAACGGAUCUUUGUUAAUGCUUAAGCCGAGCAUUGAUUUCGCGCUGCCCGGCCUUAGAAAGCGUACGGAUGAAUUUCAAAUAUUAAGCGCAGACGAAGAUGUAAAAAAAGUGCGCGGUUAAUUUCCUCGCACCAGUGGUAACGCACGCGUAUACGUUAAAUUCACUAGCUAGGGGCCUUAGGGUCAAAAUAGGUCAACAUAUUUACAUGGCGGACAACGUGGAAGGUAGCAGCGCAGGGUGGCAGUUGGUGGCAUGCUCUAUUGAAGCGCAACUCUAGUUAGUUAAACGUAUAUUAGCAUGUUUUAUCGGUUUUACAGAGGCGCGUGUAACUUGCGUAGGAUUAUGUCUACAGGUGAUGAUCUUGAACUAGCUUGGUUUUUUCUCUCAUACGCACACGAACGUAAAAUUGUGUGAAAAUAGUCGAUAUAUGACGCUAUUAUACGAGUUUGGCGUGGCUUUGCUUACGUAUAAGGAAUAAAUCGAAUGAAACAA